rnacentral:rRNA from 1 species
CCUACGGGCGGCAGCAGUCGAGAAUCAUUCACAAUGGGGGAAACCCUGAUGGUGCGACGCCGCGUGGGGGAAUGAAGGUCUUCGGAUUGUAAACCCCUGUCAUGUGGGAGCAAAUUAAAAAGAUCGUACCACACGAGGAAGAGACGGCUAACUCUGUGCCAGCAGCCGCGGUAAUACAGAGGUCUCAAGCGUUGUUCGGAAUCACUGGGCGUAAAGCGUGCGUAGGCUGUUUCGUAAGUCGUGUGUGAAAGGCGCGGGCUCAACCCGCGGACGGCACAUGAUACUGCGAGACUAGAGUAAUGGAGGGGGAACCGGAAUUCUCGGUGUAGCAGUGAAAUGCGUAGAUAUCGAGAGGAACACUCGUGGCGAAGGCGGGUUCCUGGACAUUAACUGACGCUGAGGCACGAAGGCCAGGGGAGCGAAAGGGAUUAGAUACCCGUGUAGUC